ensembl:lncRNA
AGCUGGCCCCUCCCAGCACCAGGCCCUUAUAAUGGCCCGUCUGUCGCCUUCCAGGCAGGUUGGGGGGUGUCAGUGUAGAUCCUCCUGUGAUCCCCAAAGGUCCCGCACCAGCUCACCGCCACAGCGCCGGGAAACAUGCAGCCGCUUUGCAGGGUGCUGGCUGUCGCUGGGGCCGUGGUGCUGCUCCUGGCCAUUGUAGCUGCUGACGAGCCCACCAGCUCUCCGGACACAACGCCCCCUGCCGGGGGCCAGGAACCAGGCGAGCUCACCAGCCCCCCGGAGCAGCUCACGAGAGGGGUGACCCCGGUGAGCCUCGGGGGAGCCGAGCGGUCGCUCACUGACGACACGCACCCAGGCGGCCUGGACGGGGACUCGGCCGGCCUCGACGCCCUCAACAGCGGCACCUUUAACCUGGACCCCCUGGCUGGGGACGCCCAAAGCGGUCCGGCGGGGGACGUGCCUGCUCAGUCCAACGAGUCGCAAGAGAGUGUGGACCACGACACCGACUCGGAGGAGGCCCUGGCAUCUCAAGGGAUGUGAGGGGCAGGGUCCCACGCCGGAGCUGCCACGGAGCCCCCAUGGACAGCAGCUUCCUGCCUUCCGCCAAACCUUCUCGCUCCCCGUCCCUGGCACCGCCCGGGUCUCGCUCUGCACCUGCCCCCCUGUCCUGCAGCCGGGAGCCUUCGGGAGUCCUGCGGCUCGCAAGUCCCUGCCCCCCACUCCCCACGGUGCGGCCCCUCGGCUGGGGCAAACCAGCAAGCCGCACGGAGCGACCCCCGCGGGGGAUCCGACCCAGCCCCUCCAGCUGGGAGACGGGCCCGAGACCCCCCAUUGGCCCAGCCUCCCGCUUUCCGAGAGCUGCUGGUAGGCCGCCCGGCUGAGCAGCCGACAUCCCCCGCCCCAGCCCCACAACGGCUCCCCCAGAGCCCCGGGGUCCCGGCGGGGUGGCACCUUGGCCAAGGCCUCACUGCUGCAGCGGGCAGGGCGGGAGCGCAGGCUCCAGGCAGCUCGGCUGCUCCAGUCCCCGACUCUCCCAGGGGAGGUGCUGCUCUGCCGGAGCACCCAGCCUCCGCAGUCCCACAUCCCAGCCUCUCCCAGCAGGAAUCCCAGGGGCUCCAGGGGUCGCCCCUCUGCCGACGGUGCCCAUGAGCCCCAGCAAGUGCCUUCCCAGCAUGGGUCCGGCCAGGGCCCCUGGCGGGAAGCUGGGUGCAUGGCGUUAUCACAGAGCCGGGCACUGGCCAGGGGCCUCAUCUAGUGCCCCGGGCAGACCUGGAACUGUCCUACUGCUCUCUGGCCCUCGUGGAGAAGGGGCACCUCCUACAUCUGCUUGGCGAGGGGCAGGAGACCUUGGUGUCUGCCUUAGGGGCCGGGGUUUCUGGGCUCAGCUGGGCGCUGGCCUGGCCCAUGACAGCCUGCAGGAGAUGCACCGGCUUUGCCGCUGCCCCCCAGCCGAGUGGACCCCCCCCGGCUGGAGCUAACAGCUCUCGCCGCUUUGCUGCUGACCCCGUGAGAGCUCCCAGCGCCGCUGUCCCCUGUAUUCCUGCCACUGCUUACCCUGCCAAUAAAAA